rnacentral:rRNA from 1 species
AUUGAACGCUGGCGGAAUGCUUUACACAUGCAAGUCGAGCGGCAGCGCGGGGCAACCUGGCGGCGAGCGGCGAACUGGUGAGUAACAUAUCGGAACGUACCCAUUGGUGGGGGAUAACACAUCGAAAGAUGUGCUAAUACCGCAUAAGACCUGAGGGGGAAAGGGGGGGAUCGCAAGACCUCUCGCCGUUGGAGCGGCCGAUAUCGGAUUAGCUAGUUGGUGGGGUAAAGGCUCACCAAGGCGACGAUCCGUAGCUGGUCUGAGAGGACGACCAGCCACACUGGGACUGAGACACGGCCCAGACUCCUACGGGAGGCAGCAGUGGGGAAUUUUGGACAAUGGGGGCAACCCUGAUCCAGCCAUUCCGCGUGAGUGAAGAAGGCCUUCGGGUUGUAAAGCUCUUUCAGCAGGAACGAAACGGUGUGGGUUAAUACCCUGCAUCAAUGACGGUACCUGAAGAAGAAGCACCGGCUAACUACGUGCCAGCCGCCGCGGUAA